UGAGGGAGACGCCAAAUGCGAUAGCAUUUCCGAAAAUGGCAUCGACCGAUAUGCCACUGAGCGAAGCGAGGGGGCGCUACAACAG
rnacentral:sRNA from 1 species